rnacentral:tRNA from 1 species
GCAGGGGUUUCCGAGCGGUCAAAGGAGCCAGGUUCAGGGCCUGGUGGCUUAGUGCCUUCAGGGGUUCGAAUCCUCUCCCCUGCA